rnacentral:rRNA from 1 species
CCUACGGGAGGCAGCAGUGAGGAAUAUUGGUCAAUGGACGAGAGUCUGAACCAGCCAAGUCGCGUGAAGGACGACUGCCCUAUGGGUUGUAAACCUCUUUUAUAUGGGAAUAAUAUGUUCUACGUGUGGCAUUUUGUAUGUACCAUAUGAAUAAGGAUCGGCUAACUCCGUGCCAGCAGCCGCGGUAAUACGGAGGAUCCGAGCGUUAUCCGGAUUUAUUGGGUUUAAAGGGAGCGUAGGUGGAUUGUUAAGUCAGUUGUUAAAGUUUGCGGCUCAACCGUAAAAUUGCAGUUGAUACUGGCAGUCUUGAGUACAGUAGAGGUGGGCGGAAUACGUGGAGUAGCGGUGAAAUGCUUAGAUAUAACGAAGAACUCCGAUUGCGAAGGCAGCUCACUGGACUGCGACUGACACUGAGGCUCGAGAGUGUGGGUAUCAAACAGGAUUAGAUACCCGGGUAGUC